rnacentral:misc_RNA from 1 species
AACGCACCUUGCGCUCCUUGGUAUUCCGAGGAGCAUGCCUGUUUGAGUGUCAUUAAAUUCUCAACCUUUCUGGUUUUUAUUAACUAGUCAGGCUUGGAUGUGGGAGUUGCGGGCUUCUCAGAAGUCGGCUCUCCUUAAAUGUAUUAGCGAAACCUUUGGUUGACCAUCUCUGGUGUGAUAAUUAUCUACGCCGCUGAGAAUCAUCCUUUAUUAUGAGGUUCUGCUUCUAACCGUCCUCUCCGAGGACAACUCUUGACAUUUUGACCUCAAAUCAGGUAGGACUACCCGCUGAACUUAA